CAGGGUCCGAUUUAUCCUUCUCUUCUUCUAUAUACCUGAGUACAACCAAGGUACAACACUUAGGUAGUAUAUAAUUCUCAUUAAUGUUAAAAUGAAUCUCACAAAGUAGCGCGUGGACCUCUUGUUGUAGCUUCUUUGCACGACUACGUGUAAUCGGUCCAUUGAUGACAUGGGCUGGUGCCGGCAUAGUCGGUGUAGAGGUUGGCACGGAAUUAGAGGGAGCAUGCUUGGUUGGGAUGUCCUGAUCAGUACGCCACUACUUUAAUGACCCUAACUAUAUAGUUGAAUAUUCUAAGCAGGUCAGGACAAGAAGAUUGCGACGCAACCAUAAUCAAAGGAGGCAAAACAUCAAGGUCGGAUGGGCAAAUUACGAAGGAGAGGUAGUAAGGUCUGAGGAAAUACAGCUUGAACAAGAGACCGUAGCACCAAGUCAGGUGUGGAGAGAAAAGAUAGUUCUACACGAAGAGGAGGCGCCGCCGGAACCACCGUCUACGCCAUCCAGCGAAUCCCAGGACAACUGAGAACAUAAGGAGUCCCGUUCGGAGGACUUAAAAACACCGAACGCCGUGCCAAGAGGUAAACUUGGUAGUUAUCACUUUCCCUUCUAUUAUUUACUUUAUCUUAAAAAGCUUUUUUAGUUAAUCAGGUUCAUACUAUCUUUAAAAGAAAAAAAAAUGUUAAAAACAGUAAGCCCCAUGUGAGUAUGCUCGUGGCAUAAAAUCCAUAAGUACAUUUACUAUGGUGGCACACAAAAUAAUUAAAUAAAUAAUUUUUCCUACUCUAUAAAAUGAAAAUAUAAAAAUAGAGAGUAACACUUAUUGAGAAAGCUCAACAUGAUAAAGGCUAGGUAUUUAUGCUAACACUUAACUAGUUCCACAAAGCUUUGUUGUCUAUUUGAGCUCCACAGAAUUCAAAGAAGACUAGCAAAAGGAGGACAUCCUAAUCGCUGUCAGGGUGCUGCCGACAUUCAAAUACACCUCUGCCACCUGCUAGCUACAUCAGAAGAAAUUACGUCAAGAUCUAGCUUGGGGGAGAGCACCCCCAUUUAUCCCGCUAAGUAUUUCUAUCUAUAUUUAUACUUAAACUUGUUGACACCAUUUUUGGGCACGUGUCCAGGAUGGCAGGAUAGGGUGGCAGUACGAUGCGGGUUGCUGAUGAGGAUGGUUGCCGAUGAGGGAGAGGUUGAAUGUGACUAAGUCCACAGGCAGUAAUAUGGUGCCGAUGACUGGAUAAAAAGGUUUGCCGAUGAUUAUGGCAAGGGGAUUGCCGAUGACGCGAAGGAGGAGUCCGGAAGCUGCCAGUUGUCAUGUAGAGG
rnacentral:lncRNA from 1 species